UCCUCAAAUAGCACGAGUCUGACUGGAUCCAGUGAUAAUUAAAAAGCAAACAAGCUUACCUAUUUGGUUCAUGUGAGAAGCAAUGGGACUUGGAAUUGCCCUGCUCAGAAAUGAUGCUCAGCGCCUGAUGCUGCUUCCUAGCUCACCCCACUUCUACCUCCAGGCCAAGAAAAUGACUGAAGAUCUUUCAAUGCUUCAAACCCACCA
rnacentral:lncRNA from 12 species